AGUUUCUAUAUGAAUCGCCUGAAAGUGCGAAGCGGGCUACAUGCAACAAAUCUCUGAACAUCUAAAUUUGGGAUCCGAGGGCAUGAUCAGCAAGCAUCGACAAUGCAUCGAAAUCAGCAGGGAGUAGUGGUGCAUUGCAGAUAAUCAGUACCAUCCAUGGAAACUAUUGCACAGGGCACACGUCUACACAAAGGAGGAAAAGACACAAGGUUUUGCAGAUCAAAUAAGAAGGAUGUUGGGGAGUCAUAUUUGACAUGAAGUUUCCUGAAGCCUGCGAUGGUCAUGUCGCUGUUACGAACAUCGUCCUUUGGGGAUAUUUACCCACAAGAAACAUCUGCGAAGUACAUGCGCUUCGUGAAAGACUUGAAACUUAAGUUAUCUUAAGUAUGGAAGUAUGCUUCAAUUUGCUACACGACAGUUUGUAAUGUUUCAUGAAGAACUCUGACUCAUAAGUGACUUGAAUAUCCAUGAUCAUCCCAAACAAAUAUAAUAAAGAAUUCAU